rnacentral:rRNA from 1 species
UACAGAGGGUGCAAGCGUUAAUCGGAAUUACUGGGCGUAAAGCGUGCGUAGUCGGUUAUUUAAGUCGGACGUGAAAUCCCUCGGCUUAACCGGGGAACUGCGUCCGAUACUGGAUGGCUUGAGUUUGGGAGAGGGAUGCGGAAUUCCAGGUGUAGCGGUGAAAUGCGUAGAUAUCUGGAGGAACACCGGUGGCGAAGGCGGCAUCCUGGACCAACACUGACGCUGAUGAGCGAAAGCCAGGGGAGCAAACGGG